rnacentral:misc_RNA from 1 species
UCCAGUUUAACACUGGCAGUCCCUCUAGAGUGCCCAACUUAAUGAUGGCAACAAGAGGCGUGGGUUGCGCUCGUUACGGGACUUAACCCAACAUCUCACGACACGAGCUGACGACAGCCAUGCAGCACCUGUCUCUCAGUCCCCUUGCGGGGAAAGCCGACUUUCAUCGGUUAUCCGAGGAUGUCAAGACCAGGAUAAGGUUCUUCGCGUUGCGUCGAAUUGAACCACAUGCUCCACUGCUUGUGCGGGUCCCCGUCAAUUUCUUUGAGUUUUAAUCUUGCGACCGUACUCCCCAGGCGGGAUGCUUAACGCGUUAGCUUCGUUACUGCGAGUGUUUACUCUCUCAACAACAAGCAUCCAUCGUUUACAGCGUGGACUAC